rnacentral:rRNA from 1 species
GUCGGGAAUCUUGCACAAUGGGCGAAAGCCUGAUGCAGCAACGCCGCGUGAGGGAUGAAGGCCCUCGGGUCGUAAACCUCUGUCGGGAGGGAAGAACGCGCUUCGGACCAAUACUCCGGAGUGUUGACGGUACCUCCAAAGGAAGUGCCGGCUAACUCCGUGCCAGCAGCCGCGGUAAUACGGAGGGCACAAGCGUUGUUCGGAAUUAUUGGGCGUAAAGCGCGUGUAGGCGGCUUGGUAAGUCGGAUGUGAAAGCCCGGGGCUCAACCCCGGAAUUGCAUACGAAACUGCCUCGCUAGAGUCUCGGAGAGGAGGGCGGAAUUCCCGGUGUAGAGGUGAAAUUCGUAGAUAUCGGGAGGAACACCAGUGGCGAAGGCGGCCCUCUGGACGAUGACUGACGCUGAGACGCGAAAGCGUGGGGAGCAAACAGG